CAGACACAAGCUCACACACACACACACACACACACAGACAUACAGUAUUAUACACAUUCCUGAUAAUGAAACUGAUGCAAUCUAACACACAACUAUGCCAAACUAUGGGUUUCAUUUUAUUUGUUUUUUUCUUGGACACCACUCAGGCUUCUCCUCAAGUAGCCUACGUGAUUCAUGUUAAAGAUACCACAUAUUAUGAGGAGUUUCAAUGUGUAACAGAACCAGAGGCGGAAAACACCAAAUACAGCUGGCGCAGACAGAACUGGACUGAACUUCCACAGGGAGUGGAAGUGAAGGGAGAUAGACUGCAUUUCCGGAAGUCGACCCCUGACCUCAAUGGUGUAUACAUAUGUGAGGUAGUGAACCAGUACGGUGUUGCAGCGGGAUCGCUCUAUCGACACAUGGGUAACUCUGAUACCCGUUCAGAGCUCUAACAGGGAAGCCGUGAAACAUCAUCUUGGAUGAGUUGGAAGAAAAACUCAGAAUAAUGAAGAAGACUCAAGAAGAAACCCUUUUAAAGCAAUUUAGGAUUUAAUUUUUGCUUCUAGAUAAGGUUUAGAUCCAUAAUAUUGGUGCUAUUUAUAUAUAUAUAUAU